UUGCUCUUUCCGGAAUUGAGUGGCAAACGGGUGAGUAACACGUAAACAACCUGCCUUCAGGAUGGGGACAACUUCCCGAAAGGGAGGCUAAUACCGGAUACGAACCGGGCAUCGCAUGAUGCCGGGUUGAAAGAUGGCCUCUAUUUAUACGCUAUCGCUGUGGGAUGGGCCUGCGUCCGAUUAGCUGGUUGGUGAGGUAACGGCUCACCAAGGCGACGAUCGGUAGCCGACCUGAGAGGGUGAUCGGCCACAUUGGGACUGAGACACGGCCCAAACUCC
rnacentral:rRNA from 1 species